rnacentral:rRNA from 1 species
GACUCUCGGCAANCGGAUAUCUCGGCUCUCGCAUCGAUGAAGAACGUAGCGAAAUGCGAUACCUGGUGUGAAUUGCAGAAUCCCGCGAACCAUCGAGUCUUUGAACGCAAGUUGCGCCCGAGGCCACUCGGCCGAGGGCACGCCUGCCUGGGCGUCA